UACGGAGGGUGUAAGCGUUGUCCGGAUUUAUUGGGUUUAAAGGGUGCGUAGGCGGCUAAUUAAGUCAGCGGUGAAAUUCCACAGCUCAACUGUGGAACUGCCAUUGAUACUGGUUGGCUUGAGUACAGAUGAGGUAGGCGGAAUUGACAGUGUAGCGGUGAAAAUGCUUAGAUAUUGUCAAGAACACCUAUUGCGAAGGCAGCUUACUAAGCUGUAACUGACGCUGAGGCACGAAAAGCGUGGGGAUCAAAACAGG
rnacentral:rRNA from 1 species